CCCACACCCAGAACAUCAGCUCCUCCCUGAGUCUCCAGCUGAGCAUCCCUCAACGCCAACAACAUCAACUCCUCCCCUGAGCCCUUCAGCCGUGCAUGACCAAACUGAACACCAUCAGCCCUCCCACCCCCACCUGCACAACCUUCACCUAGAACACCUGCCCUCCUCGGUCUUCAGCUGCACGCACCCUCACCCAGAACAUCCGCCUCCUCCCCCAGGUCUCCAGCUCCAUGACCCUCAAUCUAGAACAUUAGCUUUUCCCUGAGUCUCCAGCUGAAAGACCCUCAAUGCAACAACAUCAGCUCCUCCUGGAGUUCUCCUCAGCCCACCCUCAAACUGGAACAUCAGCUCCUCCCCACCCCCACCU
rnacentral:lncRNA from 1 species